rnacentral:lncRNA from 1 species
AUUUUACAACACAAUUAAUAUUAAUUAUUUUAAUAAGUUAUAACAUUACCUAAUUGGCACAUAGUCGGCCUAACCCUGAAUUUGAGACAUAUAAAUGUGAGGUACUUAUGGCAUAAAAUAUAUAUCACAAUCGUGGUGACAAUUUCUACCACGGUCACAAAGUGCAACAAAACCUAAAUUGUCAUCUAAAGGAUCAAAGUGUUUUCAAGUAGUUGUUUAAUCUCUCACACUUAUCUAUCUUCUUAGUAGUUGUCACCACCAUCAAUACAUGCACAUAUUUUUUGAGCUGAACUGACAAAUUUUCCCACUCAAUUUCAAUGAGUAUUUAGAGCAUCAAUGGAGAGAACCUAAAUCAUUGAAGAGAUGGAAGACACGAAGGGCUUUCUUGGUAUAGCCAGACAGUUGCACCAGUGAAAUAGACUAAGUUAAUAUAGGAAACAGGAUUCAUUUUCAGUUAUUGUUCCUGUUGAGAUAUACAGUGAUGAUGAUACAGAGUAUGAUGCAACAGAGAGCAUGAUAAGCUUAGUGGUUUAGUCAGUAGCCCAGCAAAGUUAGUUAUGCUGAUGUGGAUAGUUAGUUACAAACAGAUUCAGUAGCUGUUAGCUGUAUGAAUCUUCUUGACAGAUUCCAUAACAAACUCGCGUGUAAAAUUCAAUAAUACAAAAAAGUUUUCUUUCUUCUUCAUUUUCCAUCACUUUCUUUCUCACUUUCUCUACAACCAAACCGAGUUUUUCUCAUUAUCAAACAGUUCUUAAUGCUACCUGUUUUCUUUCUAUUUUACUGAUUUCAUACAUUUUGUUGCCACCGCAGCGAGCAAUUAAUAAGAAGAUGGAUGCCAGGAAGCGUGAGCGUUGUGGUGUAUCGAUUGAUAUGGAGAGGUUGGCAGAUUCUUUGAGUGGGGAAUUGAAGUCAUUGCAAUCAAAGCUUAUUUAACUAAUUUGUACUGUUUGGUUGCCGAGAAAAGUAAAGAGAAAGCUGAGAAUUGAGAGAGAAAAUUCUGAUCAAAACAAAGCAAUAAUUCUCAUUAAUCAUGAACCUGAUUACAAGGCUAUUUAUAGUAAUAAUAUCUGGAACAUUCUACAUGCACCAAAAGCAUGUGCUUAAGCUUGAGCUAAUUGCUAAGAAACUAGUAGCUAAAUAAUACAUUCAUAACAACCUUGCUGACAAAGCUGCCACGUCACCAGCUUUAGUUAUUUAACGAACUAAGCAUCCGAAGUAUAUUCCUAGCAAUUGCAUCCCUUAGCCAGAGAGUGUUCCAUCUACAGAGUUCUUAAGACCACGCGGUGUUCCCAUCCAAGACAUUUUACUCCGCGAAUUGUUUCAAUUGCUCCCUUUCAUCAUGGUAGGGAAGAGCUAAAAGCCAUGGAAGAGCAUAAGAAAAUAUACCUUAAAAUGAUUUCAGCAAACUAAGGUACGCAUAGCAAGUUUUCUUGGAUAUAUAAAGGCAAGGGAAGCAGAAUUGCGCAACUGUUAUGCUGAAGCAAUUCAUCUUGAGAGUGAUGAGUUCAUAAAAAUGGUUUUAGUGAGUGGCGGACCCAGACACUUAAAUUAGGGGCUUAGUUAAAAACAUUUUAUUUAAUUUGGAAUUUUUUUUAAUGUUCACUUGAAUAUAUUUUAAAUCUCAUAAACUUAAAUUCCAUUACUUUCUUUAAAAUUCUAAAUAAAAUAAUAAUAAAUUAUUUAUUUUAAAUGCGUGAAAGUAUCAUUUUUCUAAAUACUUUUCACAAAAUAUUUUAAAAAAAUAAAAUAAUGUGGUUAUUGGAAUUUAAACCAAGAGUUUAAAACCAUCAUAGAACACACUUACUAUUGAACUACAAAUUUUUUGUUAUAUAAAACACGUGUCUAAAUUUUUUUAUUUAAUUCUUUUAAAAGGGAUUUAAGAUACAUUAAAAAAAAUUAAUGCCCUAGAAGGGGCUGGGCCUUAAUUGGGCAACCCCUUCUGGGCCUUAAUUGCCCAUGGUUUUAGUGGGUAUUGUGUUUCUCUUCGAGCUCUUUCUGAAAUUCUACCUACCUAAUUUCAGAACUGAUGAGGAUCCCAUAUUAGGAAAUCAUUUUUGCAUGCUGAUGUCAAGCUUGAGAUUUUGCUCUAGAAAAUCAGCUUCCAUUGUUCAUUCUCAAUGACUUGUUUAAUCUAGCCAAAACUAUCUCCAGACAGUCCAACAUUGAUCUUCACCAGGAAACCACUUUCGGCAUAAAAAGCUCUCAUUAGGUUUUGGACUGAACCAAAAUUGGACGAAAACAGCUCUUAUAAGGCAAGCUAUUGGAAAUGAUCUUGUAAAGUUAAGUGUAAUUGAAAGUGAAGUAAGUAUGAAGUGUGAUAUGAUGUCUGUAUUGUGAUCAAGUGGCGUUUUGAGGAAUAGAGAAGAGACUGGAGUUGACGAAGGUGAUGGCCAUUUUUUUAUGUCAAGGCUCCACCAAAAAGGGCAAAGAAAAGAAGAAAGAAGACAAAGGAGGAAGAAGAAAAAAGGAAAGAAAAUGAAGAAAAAUGGGUGCCGUUAUUGACAUUUUGAUUUGGUGAUUGCCGACCAUGGACAAAAUGAAAUGGAGGUGGUUGAGUUAGGUGGCUGUCAAACCUAACUUGUGGAAUUUGUUAGCCAACAUUUGGCUAUAUAAAGGGAGCCAUGCAAAUGAGUUUUGCAUCUUAUUUUGAGUGCAUCCGAGAGCUUAUAAAAGAGAGAAAAAUAAGUUUCUCUUUAUAAUCAUUUGUUUUCAAUAUUUAUACAUAUGAGAGUGUGGGUGCAAUAAAUUAGGUUUUGGGUAGUGAGGAAUUUAUCUCAAAUUACUUGUAAUUCUUCCUAUAUAGUGAUAAAUUAUCCUUUUGUCUUCUCCCGUGGAUGUAGGCUAAAAGCCGAACAACGUAAUUUUCUUGUGUUCUCUUUGUGUUUGUUCUUUAUUUUCUUCUAAUUUUACUUUAGCUGCGUGUCUGCUUCACCUAUCAAUUUCCUAACAUUUAACAGCUGGAUUCGGUUUUGAAUUUGGCAGGAAAUCAUGACCCCAACCUUUAAGUUUAAACGAAAAAAAAAAUGCUGCUUCUAGACAACUAACUUGUGAAAGAACAUGAUAUUUCAUUUGGUACAGCAGUGAGCCUCAUUGUAGAAUGGUAAAUUUUUUAAAUAUUAAAUUUGGUUAGGCAGCGCUCUGUCAUGCAAGAAUGGCUACUGUGUACAUGAGUUUAAUUCGUAACAUGGUAUGUUGGAUCUCACACAAGUUUUAACAAUAAGUUACGCGUUUCACAUUUGUAAAAAUAAAAAAAAAAAAGUUUUGAGAAUAUAUACAUUUCAAAAUUUAAUUUAAUAGAUUUUAUUUUAAUAUUAUUAACUAAAAUAAUAAAGUUAAUAAAAUUUAAUACUAAUAAAUGUUAAUAAUGAUAAUAUUAAUAAAAAAAUAAUAACAAUAAUUAAUAAUAACUAAAAUAAUAAAGUUAAUAAAAUAUAAUAUUAAUAAUAAAUGUUAAUAAUAUUAAUAAUAAUAAAUGUAUAUAUUUUAGUUAUUAACUUUAUUAUUUUAGUUAAUAAUAUUAAAAUAAAUUCCUUAAAUUUGGACAUGUAACACUCUUGUUUUAGCCUUAACAUUUCAGAAGUCUUGGCAUAUCAUCAUAGAUGAAUAAUUCCAAACACAUCAAAUAAAUAGUUCUAUUGUAAAUUCAUCGUUCCAAAUGAUCAAUGGACAUGCCAAUUAAAACAUGGUAAUGUUUCCCUGAUGUUGCUUCUAAGGUAUAGCAUUACUCUUACAAGCCACGGCUGUGUUAUGCAUAAAUAAACAUAAAUUUUGAGAAAUUUGAAGUAUUAAAUAACUUUUGCAUGCGUGGAUAGAUGAAAAGGAGCGGAGCUAGAAUAAAAAUUUAAAGGAGUAUCUAAUUAAUGGGUAAAAUGUUAAACUUUUAAAGUUAGCGGGGGCCAAAUCAGCAAAAUAAAUAUUAAAAACUGAAAUUGUAAAUUUACAUAACUAUAUUUAAUAAUUGCUUUUGUACCUACAACAGGGCGUGGCCCCUGUUUUACAUGGGGCAGCUUCCCCUGGGUGGCAGUAUCUACAAUAAUACUUGAUACAUGUUUAUGCUUUUACCUUUUUUCAUAGAGAAACCGAACCAACCUGCUUUAAGUUUUAGUUAACUUAAGAUGAUGUUCAAGAAUAUUAUACGCUUUUUUUCUUCAAGAAUUUACUUUAAUAAUUCAUUUUAGGCUACACUAAAUUGUUUAUCAUAAUGAGACUUGAUUUUAACGCUAUUAUUGGAUCCUUAUGAUUCUGCUUAAACUCUUGAACCAAAUUAUUUCACUAACAAGCAUUCUCAAGUUUAUUCUCCCACAUACAAAUUUUAUUUUAUUUUAAUUUAUUGACUUGCUUUAAAAUUCUCUUAUCUCUAAGCUUGCUUACCUGGAGUUCUGGUUUUAAUACUUGAGGAAACCUAUAAUACUUAUUGAUUCUUACCAAUCAACUUUAACUUUUAUGUAAAGAGAUUUCUUUAAGACUCUAACAACCAACAAUCUUUAUCCUUGAUUUUUCGUUUCGUAAUUUUUGAUGAUUUCAAUUAUGAAGCUUAAAGCAUGCAUCUUAUUAGAUGGGAACCUGUAAAGAAAGAAAACAGUUACUGACUUUAUUGAAAGAGAGGUUCCAUAAAAGACAAGAGAAUUGUGAUGUUCUGAAGAAAGGAAUAAGUGUACAACAUCAAUUUAUUAUUCGGACGACAAGGUCGACGAUAUAUAGUACUGGUUUCAUCAUCCAUAAUUAAUUCAAGAAACAAAGAUAGAAAUGUGAGUAUUCACUUGUCUUAAUUUUGAUGUGUUAAUAAGUUUAUGAUAGAUAUGUAAUCAAUUGUUAUAUCUUUAAAUCAAUGCGGACACACACACACACAUGUAUGUAUCAGCUCACAAAUUAUUUCUUAUUAUGAAAACUUGGUCUUUUAAUAAUAUAAACUAAAAGAGACUGUCCUCGUAUACACCUUUAUAUUAAGGAAUAAUUUAUUUUUAUUUUGGGUGAGGAGACUUUGUUGAUUAUAUUAGUGGGCUGUUUGGGUAUGUACGUGUAGCAGAGGCUAUAUGCAAAAUAAAAUGAGUUUUCUUUUCUCGUUCUCUUUAAUCAUUCUGGAACUAAGUUAGCAACUGUCCUUGAGAUAGCUGGUUUCGGUUUUGUUCUGUUUUACUGGUUUCAUUGAGUAAUAAUAUAAUUACAAAUUCUUGUACAUUUUUUUUUUGCACAAACUGAUGUAACAUGAUUUAAUUGAUUGGAUUAAAUAUCUCUUAGUCCACAUGAUUUGUUUUUAUUAUAUUAUAUUUUUAUUCAACCAAUAAGUUGAUGCUAGAUCGUUUGUACAAAAAUUUGUGACUCUAUCAUCACUCCUUUUCAUUUAUUUUGUUGCUACUGCAGCGAGCAAUUAAUGAGAAGAUGGACGCCAGAAAGCAUGAGCAUGAGGAUUAUGAUGUAUCGAUUGAUGUGGAGAAGUUGGCAGAUUCUUUGAGUGGGGAACUGGAGUCUUUGCAUCCCUUAGCCAGAGGGUGUUCCAUCUACAGAGUUUCUGAGGCCCCGCGGUGUUCCCAUCCAAGUCAUUUUACUCCGAGAAUUGUUUCAGUUGGCCCAUUCCAUCAUGGUAAGGAAGAGCUAAAAGCUAUGGAAGAGCAUAAGAAAAGAUACCUUAAGUGCUUUCUUCAACGAACUAAGGUCCGCACAGCAAGUUUCCUUGGAUUUAUAAAGGCAAGGGAAGCAGAAUUGCGCAACUGUUAUGCUGAAACAAUUCAUCUUGGGAGUGAUGAGUUCAUAAAAAUGGUUUUAGUGGAUGCUGUGUUUCUCAUUGAGCUCUUUCUGGAGUAUUAUCAACCUAAUCUCAGAACUGAUGAGGAUCCCAUAUUAGGAAAAUCAUUUUUUCAUGUUGAUGUGAAGCUGGAGAUUUUGCUGCUAGAAAAUCAGCUUCCAUUGUUCAUUCCCAACGACUUGUUUAAUCUAGCCAAAACAGCAACGUUUGAAACGAACUUGUAUGAGGAAAUUUCCUUCAGGACAAUUACCUGUUUUUGGUUCAGGAAGGAAAUUGCUUCAUAUCUUCCAAUACAGGAGAAUUUGCUAGAAAUCAACUUUUCGAGAGCUAAACAUUUUGUUGAUCUGCUUAUACUCUGUCUUCAGCCAUCCCAGUCGCGUGCAGUUAUUGCGUUGAAAGAUGUAAUCAUUCCCAGUGUAAAGGAACUUCACCAAGCUGGAGUCAAGUUUAAACGAGGGUCGAGCAAAAAUCUACUCGACAUCAAAUUUAAUGAGGGAAUUCUAGAAAUUCCAUUUUUAACGGUGUAUGAUUCCACAGAGCGUUUGUACAGAAAUGUUCUGGCUUUCGAGAGGAUGCAUUGCUACACUAAAUAUUUGAAUGACUAUAUUCUAAUGAUGAAUUAUCUUGUCAGCACUUCAAAAGACGCGGAAUUACUCCUUCAGAACGAAAUUAUUGGGCUAGGGGAUACCGAAGCAGUUCCAACUGUAUUUCGCAACCUUGAUAAAGAAUGUAUUAUAGAUUAUUCUGCUUUCGAAUAUUCUGGUAUUAUUGCUAAUCUACAGGCCUAUUGCAAAUUACCAUGGCACAAGUGGAAGGCAACGUUGAAGCAAAAUUAUUUCAACACUCCAUGGGCGUCUAUCUCUGUAAUUGCAGCUGUUAUUCUUCUUCUACUCACAUCCAUACAAACAGUUUGUUCCCUCAUCGGAUUGUAGAUUCACUUUUACAGUUUAUUAUGUAUUAUUUUCUUAGAAGGAUUUCACUUGUAUUGCCGGUGAGUGUUUCUGUUUAGCUCAACCACAGUAUGUACAUAAAAGAAAUAAGAGCAGCUGAUUUCUGUACUUACUUUUGCUGUUUUCGCAAUAAGUCUAGCACAUAACGAUAAAAAUUUGACAAUUCAAAUAAUAUUGAAGAAAGACUCAAGCCCUCGAUCCACUCGUCCAAUCGUCCACUUGUUAACAAAAAAUAUCUAGAAUUGUAUAUAUCCAGGAAGGAAGGGUAGUUAGGAUAUGUGGUUAACAAAUAGUUAUAUGGUGAUAUAUGGAAAAUGCGGCUAAGAAAUAUGAUAUGAUACAUACAUAUAUAAGCAGUUAGAUUUUUUGGGAUGGGAUUAAUCGGGAGGACCAAGAGUUGGAAUCAUCGCCAUUCGUAGGGGAAGCAAAAUGCAGCAAUCUGAAAUCGUAACCAUCCAUUUUUGGGGAAUAAAUUUAAUCAGAUAAAUUGAAAGGGUCUCAAUACAAGCAUCCAUCAUGCAUUCGAUAAAAGGAUAAAGAAAGCGAAAGGUGUGUCAACCGGGGCUUUUAACUUUGAGAUGAGAAUCUUUUGAUUCAAUCUUCAUGAUAUAUCCAAAUGAGCUGUUAUGGCUACGGACAACGGUGGAUUAAAUUACACUUAACCUUAUCGAGACCAAGUCAAAACAAAACUCAAAACCAGAGCGCCUUACAAUUUAUUCAAGGUGGCUCCAAAAUGCUGAAUGAGCCAAAUUUUUAAGCUACAGGUUACGCAAGACGUUUAAUCCUAAUCGACUUUCAAAAUCCAAUUUAUUGUAUCCAUAUAUAUAUCUAAACCACCACGUAGAUCGGUGACAAACCCUUCUCCCUUCGUCAUUUGCAUAUGUGGGUAACAUUUCCUUCCAAAUUACUUGACGGUGAAUUUGAUCCGCACAAAUAUCAAAAAAUGGUAUUUGCAUGUGGGUAACAUUUUCUUCCAAAUUAUUUGAUGGUAAAUUUGAUCCGUAUAUAUAUAUAUAUAUAUAUAAAAGGUAGUAUAAUAUUUUCAAUGCAUCAAUUCAGUUUUGGAAAAAUAUUUUCGUUGUUGAUGAACUCAUGUGCCCUCAUCAGAUUGACUUUACGCUGCAAAUAAAAAUGGAAAAAAAAAAACCUUUUAUCGUCUAACAAACAUUAAAAAACAUGAAACAGAAAAAUUGGGCCAUUUUGAUUUGGGCCUAUAAUUUUAGGUCCAGUAGAAAGGCCUGAUUGGCCAUGCCAGCCCAAUAUUCAGGCCCGUUAUGUUUCGACGAAAAGUUAUUCUCUCACGUUCACGUUAGAACUUUGUUCUUCGAUGAUCGUCGGUUUUUUCAUGCGAAUGGAGUCCGCGCCUUCUCCAGAUAUCUUAAACGAUGACAAUGCAACAACUCUUGGUAGGUCAUAUUUUCGUUUGCUUAUUAUGCUUUGAUACGUUUAUAUAUUCAUUCAGAUCAUAUUUUAGUUUUUUUUUUUUUUUAAAUAUCAUAUUUAGUUCUGUUCUCUCUCUUUUUUUUUUUUUUAAAAAAGAAAACUCUAUUUUUUCUUAUUGCUAGAAUUUAUCAAACUUUAAGCAUUUACGUUCUUUCUUCAAUCAACUAAUUUCUUGCUCGUCCAUCCAUGUGAUGAAUUGUUUUGAAUAAUUCUAUGAGCUUGUUGCAUGUGUUAUUCAUGGAAUCGUGGUAACUGACUGAGACGAUGAAAGUUUAUGUUUUCAUUUUAUUUCAUUGCAUUUUUUUUUUUGGGUGGUAUUUCAAUUAUUACUAUUUUGAAGGGAUAAAUUUUUAGUUCAAGACUAUAGAUAUGAGUAGGGAAUGCAUAUCAUGAAUCCCAUUUUUGCUUAUCUGCAUGGUAAUUUAUCGCUUCUAUUAUCGAGGAAUGAGUUAAAACUUGGUUUGAAAAUGGAAUAUUCCAGAGCUGGGAAGGACAAUGGGUGAGGAUGGCCAAAAUUCUGGGCCAAUGCAGGAGGACCUAGUGCAGCUGAUUUCUGUACUUACUUUUGCUGUUUGCACAAUAAGUCAAGCACAUAAUGAUAAAAAUUUGAUGAUUCAAUUAAUAUUAGAAAAAGCCUCAAGUCCUCCACUCGUCGAAUCGACCACUUGUUAACAAAAAAUAUCUAGAAUUAUAUAUAUCCAGGAAGGGAGGGAAGUUAGGAUAUGUGGUUAACAAAUAGUUAUAUGGUGGUACAUGGAAAAUGUGGCUAAGAAAUAUGGAAGCACUAUACAUGCUGCAUAAAACGACAGCUGAGGAAAGGAUGCUGCAUAUAAUUUAUAUAAUUAUAUUUAAUAAUUGUUUUUGGACCUACAAUAACAGGGCAGGGUCUCUGUUUUCCAUGAAGCAGCUUCCCCAUGGAUGAAAGUAUCGACAUCAAUACUCAAAACAUGUUUAUGCUUUUACCUUUUUUCAUGGAGAAGCCGAAAAAAACCCGCGUUAGGUUUUAAAUUAAUUAACUUAGAUGAGGUUCAAGAAUAUUAUACGGUUUUUCCCUCAGGAAUUUAUCGUAGUAAUUCGUUUUAGGCUACACUAAAUUUUUUAUCGUAAUAGAUUCGUCGAAAGACUUAACUUUAACAUUAUAAUUGGUCCCUUAUCAUUAUGCUUGGGCUUUUGAACUAAGUUAUUUCUCUAACAAGAUAUCAAAGUUGAAUUUAUUGGCUUUCUUUUAAAUUCUCUUAUCUCGCGGUUCAGGCUCUGGUUUUGGUAAUUGAGGGGACCUAUUAAUUAAUAGUUAUUGACUCUUAACCUAAACUUUUGUGUCAAGCGAUUAAUUUCUUUAAAUCUCUAACAACCAAUAUAAUCUUUGUUCUUGAUUAUUCAUUUUUUAAUUUUUGAUAAUUUCCAUUAUGAAGCUUAAAGCAUGCAGCUUAUUAGAUGGGAACCGAUAAAGAAAGAUAACACUUAAACGACUUUAUUGAAAGAGAUUCCAUAAAAGAUGAGAAUUGUUAUGUUCUGAAGAAAGGAAUUACUGAGUGAACAAUAUCAAUUUAUUCGUAUUAUUCCUACAUAUAUAUGGAGUACAUGGACCAAUUUAUUACGAGGACCAGGUCGAUCUUAUAUGUAAGUGUGUUUCAUAUCCACAAUUAAUACUGGCUACAAAGAAAAGCAAUGUGAGUACUUAUUUUUUUCUUAAUUUUUGAUGUGUUAAGUUUCUGAUUUAUAAGCACUUGAUCGAUAUAUCUCUUAAUUAACCUGGAUACAUACAUCAUUCUUCUUUUAGCUAGCUGGCCAAGGAUGUUCCGGCCCUUUCUUUUUAUUGUACUCUUUUUUCUUUAAAAGGCUGGCGACGGAUGACAGGGAGGACGAGUAUGUGCCUUUCGAAAUGGAGAAGUUAGCCGAUUCUUCAUCCACAAUUAACUCAGGGGCUAUAGAAAAAGCAAUGUGAGUAUUCACUUUUGUCUUAAUUUUUUAUGGCUUAUUAAUCUAUACACACUCGAUCGUCACAUCUUUUGAUUAAUCUAGAUAUAUCCUAGGUACUGAAGGAGCAUUACUCAUUAUUCUCUAGUUGCCAUGUGUGUACAAAUAUUAUCAUGAUUGAUUGAAAAAUAUAUUUGGCAAUGAGUGAAUGGAAAAUGAGCAAUCCUCCUGGAGCACAGCAAGACUUUUCCAUACUAACGUUGUUUAUUUCAUUAUUCUUCCAUUAGUAACUGAUUGAACAGGAAAUGGAAAAGGAAUCUACACAAGCAAUUGCAAAUUAAGUGGAAAUUAACUUUUUCAUUCUUUGUGUGAUUAAAAUAGCAUGUGUACCACAAGUGAAUUAACAAAAAAAUAAACCAACACAAUCCAAAGUAAUAAAUCGAUCACAAUAGACAUAGAUUUUUUAUAUGAAAAUCUCAAAUCCGAAAAGACCAUAGGACCCUAGUCUGAUAUAAUAUUCUACUAUAUUAAUAAUGGGAUUACAACACAAUUUCUUCUCUAGAUAGCACUAGAGGCUAAUAUCUAUUUCUAGGUAACAAUAUCAAUAAUCUCAAAAAUCUUGAUUCACAGUAACACUUUAAUAUCUAUCUCUUUGACAAAUGAGUAUCUCAAAUAAUAACUAACGAGAGGAUAAAACAAAAAUCAAGACUAAUAGGAAUGUAGAGAGCGAUGCCAAAAACUUACCUCUAAAUUUGAGAGUGUGGACUGGAGUGCAAUGAAUUCAAAACGGCUAUGUUUUGAGUAAGUGAUUAUAUUCAUGAAAUCAUGUGCAGCUCGCAUGUCGUAUACUUCACUUAACUUAAGAGAGAAACGGCGUUGUUUUCAGUCGUUUUGGGCAAAGCUUAAGUGAAGCACGUGAGACAGCAUGUGAGGAAGGAACCAUAUUCGUUAUUAAGCCGUUACACACGCGUCAAAAAGUUGUGCAGUCUGGGUUUUUGAUAGAGCUUUCCAGAGGGGUUUAGAAAGUGAGAGAGUCUUCUUGUUCCUUGUAAUCUCCUCUGUAUAAGCUCUGUAACUGAUACAACUCUGCAGCUCAGAGUUUUUAAAUCUUCGAAUUACACUUUUCGAGUAAGUGCUAACUCCAGCAAAAAGAAACAAAGCAGAAUGGAAAUUCGAUGAGAAACAGAGAUAGCAGGAGAGACUGAGAGCGAAGAAGAAAUAUUUGCCAAUUCCUCGUUUCUUUACUGACAUGUUUCUUUCUACAUAUAUCUUUUACCCCCUCAACAUUACACGCGUAACUAACCACCAAUGUAAUGAUUUGCACAAAUAGACAAAACAAAAUAACAAAAUCACAGCUGCAAUGUUUCUCCCUCUUUUUGUUCCUUCUCGAAUGUUCUUUAGGUAAUGUAAUCUUGAGGUAUGUUGGUGCCCUGCGCAUACCAGUUGGACCUUUUAUGGGCUCCUCGACAAGCUGGGCUUCUUCCUCUGUUUCAAGUGCUGACUUGUCAUUACUCUCGGGCCAAGUUGUAUCGGUAACAGUCAUCUUUAUUAAUUGUCUGCGUGUCACCUCAAUUUUAGAAUGCGUCACCUAGCUAACGUCAAUAAUGGAGAAAGGCAGUAGAAAAAGAAAAGCAAUAUUGUAAAAGUUUGAUGCAGUCAAUUAAAGGAGAUAGCAAAAGAAAGAUAAAUAAGCAAAUAUUUUAAUAAAAUAGCUAAACCAGAUAAUUGAAUAAAUCAGUAUGCGUAUUAAUUCUAGAAUAGCAAGACAUAUACCUUUUUUUUUUUUUUAUCAUGAAUUAGUUGCUUUAGCGAGAAAUUUUAAUCAAAGUCAAAAUUUUUAUUGUGAAAAUGCAGAGUACUUUCCAACCUGGAAAAAUUGCAGAGUCCUUUCACCACCAAUCUUGCACGAUACCGCUCCACUUGGUCAUUGUCAUCACAUUUGAUCUUGUAGACCCAUUUGUUACAAAUGGCUUUUCUUUCGCGUGGUAGUGAUACAAGUUCCCAUGUCUUAUUCUUGUGUAGAGCCUCAAUUUCUUCCUGCGUUGCUGUCAUCCACAAAGCAACAUCUGACCUGUUUAAAGUUUCGUGGAAAGUUCAUGGCUGUGGAUGAAAUAUUUUAUUUUUUUUUCUCACGUGGCGCGCCUUCUUUUCUUUUGUUUCUUCUUCUUCUUUUUUUCUGCCCUUUUCGAUGGGGCGUUGACAGGAGUUGCUCCACUUUAGAGCUAUCUUUAUAACUACACGAUCAAAAUAAUAAUGUAUUUUUUUUAUUAUUUUUCAUUUCGAUUAUAUGGCUGCGAAACUCCUGUAAAAUAGCCACGGCCUUUUACUAAUUUAUCAAAAUAAAGAGGCAGACAAAUUUAUAAAUUGUUUUCGUGUCACCUCAAUUUUAGAACGUGUCACCUAGCUAACGUCAAUAAUGGAGAAAGGCAUAAGAGAAAGAAAAGAAAUAAUGUAAAAGUUUGAUGCAGUCAAUUAAACAAAAUAGCAAAAGAAAGACAAAUAAACAAAUAUUUUAAUAAAAUAGCUAAACCAUAUAAUUGAAUAAAUCAGUAUGCGUAUUAAUUCUAGAAUAGCAAGAUAUAUACCUUAAAAUUUUUUUAUCAUGAAUUAGUUGCUUUAGCGAGAAAUUUUAAUCAAAGUCAAAAUUUUUAUUGUGAAAUUGCAGAGUACUUUCCAACCUGGAAAAAUUUCAGAGUCCUUUCACCACCAAUCUUGCACGAUACCGCUCCACUUGGUCAUUGUCAUCAUGUUUGAUCUUAUAGACCCAUUUGUUACAAAUGACUUUUCUUCCACGUGGUAGUGAUACAAGUUCCCAUGUCUUAUUCUUGUGUAGAGCCUCAAUUUCUUCCUGCGUUGCUGUCAUCCACAAAGCAACAUCUGACCUGUUUAAAGUUUCGUGGAAAGUUCAUGGUUGUGGGUGAAAUUUUUUUUUUCUCACACAGCGUGCCUCCUUUUCUUUUGUUUCUUCUUCUUUUUUUCUUCUGCCCUUUUCGAUGGGGCGUUGACAGGAGUUGCUCCACUUUAGAGCUAUCUUUAUAACUACACGAUCAAAAUAAUAAUGUAUUUUUUUUAUUAUUUUUCAUUUCGAUUAUAAGGCUACGAAACUCCUCUAAAAUAGCCAUGGCCUUUUACUAAUUUAUCGAAAUAAAGAGACAGAUCUGCGUGUCCCCUUAAUUUUAGAAUGCGUCACCUAGCUAACAUCAAUAAUGGAGAAAGGCAGAAGAAAAAGAAAAGCAAUAAUGUAAAAGUUUGAUGCAGUCAAUUAAACGAAAUAGCAAAAGAAAGAUAAAUAAGCAAAUAUUUUAAUAAAAUAGCUAAACCAGAUAAUUGAAUAAAUCAGCAUGCGUAUUAAUUCUAGAUUAGCAAGAGAUAUACCUUAAAUUUUUUUUAUCUUGAAUUAGUUGCUUUAGCGAGAAAUUUUAAUCAAAGUCAAAAUUUUUAUUGUGAAAUUGCAGAGUACUUUCCAACCUGGAAAAAUUGUCUACGGUAAGCCCCAAGUCAAGUCAAGCAAAGUACAUAAUGAUUAAAAUUAGAUAAUUAUAUAUAUAUAUAUAACAACGCUACGUACCAUAUCAAGUCUAAAAUUUGAUUAACCACGUUCCAAAGCAGAUCUAUCCAUUUAUUUUCAAAGAAUCUAAUAACCAAACUCGGUAAAGCUAUUUAAAAAGAACCAACUGCGAUCCAACUUGUUUUAUUAAAGCAAUCAUAAAGUUUUCCGACGAAAGCACUUCCAUCCUUCGAUCCUAUUUCCUUCUGGUAUCAGAGCCAAGGGGAGGAUAGUGUAAUACAGUUUUGAGUUUUUGUGAUUAAAGACUUGUGUUUUAUUUAAAUAUUGUUUGUGUGGUGAAUUUUUACUGGUAGUAAGUCCUGUCAUAGGAUAAGGAUUUCCGCAUAGGGCUGUAAAACCAUACGUGUAGCCAUUCAACCAAGACCUUAGAUUGACCAUAAGUUCUUUCUUUAUGGAUCCUCUGCUCUGUAGAGCAUCGUCCUUUUCUAGCUCUUUUUCCGGGAAGACUAGUGAUUCAAAGCAUGUUGUGAGUUCAGAAGAAUUCAUUAUUGAGAACUUUGAUAAAGCAAUUGAUUGUUGGGAACUUCCAAAGAUUUCCAAAGAAAAGAUUUACAAAACAAAAAAGCUUGAUUUUUUAAAAAAUGAUUAUGUAAUAAAGACUGAAGAACGUGACAUAACUCUUUCUGAGCCAUUUGAAACAAUUCAUUUGUUUUCAGAAAAGUCUUUAAAGAAAUUAAAAGAAAAGAAUUUUAAUUAUGUUCAUAUAGGACUUAUUCAGGUUGGUAUAAAACCCUUAACCAAAGAAGGUUUGGAUACUUCUAUCCUCGCUGUCCUUAGAGAUGGUCGAUUCAUCUCUUUUGAUGAUUCUUUACUAAGUAGUAUUGAAUCGAGUCUCUGUAAAGGUCCAAUUUCUUUUGAUUGCUAUCCAAAUAUAACAAUUUCUCUUAAAGACAAAAAUAUUUUGAAAAGCAUGAUUUUACAAAUCAAAACCCAUAAUUAUAAUAUGAUUAAAGGAUCUGUUCCAGUAGCCUUAAUUUUUAAAAUUUCCUAUAAGGCUAUGGUUUCUGCGUUCAGUACGCAACAUAAAUUCCAGUCAAAAAGAGAUGAGACUCUUCUCUUGUAGACUGAUUUGUCUAGAGCCAACACUGUAAUUCCUAAACCUAUCCAAUGGAAAGAUGUCAAUCUUCCAGAAGAAUGGAUUCUCGAAGGAGCUGCUCCACCAGCAAUUCCAAAACAACUUGAGCCAAAUACAGAGUUGCAAAAUGUGACUCAAUAUUCUGAUGGUAAAGUCAAACUAUCUUUCAGAAGAUCUAACUCAACCAGAUUUUCUGAUAAAGAGUCGUGCUCAAGCAUUCCUUCCUUAGAAAGGAAAUUUACAAAAAUACCUUCAGUUAUAAAUCUUCCUUAUCAACCCGUAAGGAGUCAACCGAGGUUUUCCACCUCAGAUAUUCCGAGUUCAUCUAUUCGUUCUGUUGACUAUACCACAAAUGUUCCUCAUCCAAUUUAUACUAGUAGUCAACAUGAACAAAAACAAGAAGAGAAGGAACCUUCUCCUCCAACUUCCCCUACUUUUUCUGCUAUCACAGAAAAUGUCAUAAAUGUUAUUGAAAAGAAUUUUGAGCUUGAUAAAAAUCUUCUUCAUAAUGAUUUUUACUCUGACUUUAAUAAAGAAAAAAGACUUUGGUUUUUUAAGAAUUUUUUAAAUCAAAGGAAAGAAAUCCAACAAAUCUAUUAUGAAUUUGUUAAUCUUCAUCAAGUUUAUAUAUUGUUUUUUGAUUGGUUCGAAAUAUAUUCUUCUGAGAACAACAUUGAAUAUCCUUUUAAAGAGUCAAACCCUAUUACUAUUAGGAAGAAAAUUCCUGAAUGGAAACUUCUUGAUAGCAAUAGAAUCAUAGAGUCUGAACACCCACCUCUUCGGAGUGUAACCAUUGAUCAUGGAGAACCUCCUGUCCAAAUUAGAGCUUCACCUUACAAAAUUCCAAAGCCAAAUGAUUCUGAAGCCAAUUUAAGUAGUAUUAUCCAACAGAAUAAUUUCUGUAAUACCAACUUAAAUACAAUCGGAAAGCAGUUGACUAGGAUAGAAAACCAAUUCCAAAAGUCAACCAUUACUGUUUCUUCGAUUCCACCAAAAUCGGAUUCUGACAAAAAACUUAAGGAACCUAUUUUCAAACCUUUUCAGGUUUCGAAAACUAGCCAAAAGUUUGUUCAAGAGUCAAAAUCAGAUUUUGCUAAAGCCAUUAGAGAAUAACUAGAUAGGAUAGAAGCUGCUUCUUUCUCAUCUAGCAAAGUUCAGAUAGCCCCUGAUACUCCUCAAUCUAGCAAGAUUGGAGUAUUAGAACAAGACCAAAUGUCUAUAGCCUCUUCUGAUAUAGAAGCCUUCAAAGAAGAACCUUCUACUCCUAAAGCCAACAAAAUUCAUUGGGAAUUAGCCUUUCCCACUGCCAAGACUCCACCGGAUCUAGCAAUAGAUAAUAGACCAAGUGCAUUAAAUCAAUCCCGAUACAAUGCAUCUUCAGUCUAUGAGUGGAAUAUUGAUGGUAUGUCCGACUACAAUAUCCUAGGAUUGUUGCAACAAAUGACAAUGGCAGCCAAUGCCUAUAAAACCCAAGCAGGAACUUCUGAUCGUGCCAUAUCAGAAAUCCUCAUUGCCGGGUUUACUGGUCAACUAAAAGGUUGGUGGGAUCAUCUUCUCAAUAAUCAGCAACAAUUAGACAUUUUAAAUUCCAUUCAAGUCGAUGAAAAUAGAGCACCUAUUCUUGAUGAGUUCAACAAUCCAAUCAAGGAUGCUGUUGCUACUCUAAUUUUAAUUAUUUCCCUCCAUUUCAUUGGUGAUCCUUCACACCUUCGAGAUAAAAACGCUGAGUUACUACAUAAUUUAAGAUGUAGGAAACUUAGUGAAUUUCAAAGUUACAAAACCUCAUUUUUUACCAGACUAUUUCUAAGAGAUGAUGCAAAUCAUAUAACUUGGAAAGAAAAUUUUCUUGCUGGAUUACCUACCCUUUUAGGUGAAAAGGUAAGAAAUUCCAUCAAAACCCUUUAUGAUAAUCGUAUUCCUUAUGAUGAGCUCACCUACGGUGAACUUGUCAGUUUUGUCAAUAAAGAAGGUUUAAAGAUUUGUCAAGAUUUAAAAUUACAGAAACGACUUAAGUGGGAGCUUAAGAAGUCUAAACAAGAAUUAGGCGGUUUCUGUAAACAAUUCAAUUAUGACCCCUUUAAAACUUCUAUCUCCAAAGAUUGUAAUGGUGAGUGUUCUACUAAACCUCGUAGGAAACAUUACAAAUCUAAAAAUUUUAGGAAACCCUUUCGUAAUUUUAGAGAACUUCCUUAUAAGAAACCUUCGAGACCUUAUAAGAAACCCAAAUUCUCUAAAAAAGAGUUUAAAGCCAAACCAAACACUCCUUUCAAUUACAGAGAAGCUAUAUGUCACAAGUGUGGCAUAAAAGGUCAUACUGCAAAAUAUUGCAGAAUGAACAAAAAACUUCAUGAGCUUGACCUUGAUGAUGAGAUCUUUUCUAAAUUAGCCCCUCUUCUUAUCGAGUCUUCUGAUUCCGAGUCUUCUAUGUCAGGAGACAAUGAUCCAUAUCAAGUUGAUGAGCUAUUUGACUCAGAUGACUCUGCAUCUAGCAGUAGCGAAUCUGAAUCUGAUUCAUUUUUAAAGAAAAUCAAUGUUUUGACUAAAGACCAAGAAACUUUUUUUGAACUUGUAAAGCAUAUUUCUUAUCCGAAUCUUCAAAAAGAAUAUCUUGAUAAACUUCUAAAAACUUUGGAUUUUAAUAAAGCCGAAACUUUUAAAGUCCCAAUUGUUAAAAAAAAAUCUUAUCAUCUUACUCAGAUUUUGGAUAAAAAGAAAACAAAGAAGUCAACACACACAAUUCAAGAUAUUCAAAAAGAAAUCAAAGACAUUAAACUUGAAAUAAAAGAUUUAAAAGAAAAACAAAAAAGUGAUUCUGAAACUAUCCAACUCCUUUUACCAAAGCAUUUACAGGAUAGCUCAGAUAAUGAGUCAAAUCCUAAUGAUGGUGAUAAUAUUGACCAUAAUUUAGAAAACAUUGAGUCUAUACCAAAUGAUUUUCUAUUUGCUUUAAAAUAGAUCACCAUGAGAAAGUAUUUGAUUAAAAUCACUUUGAUUUUUUCUGAUGAUUUUGCAAUUGACGCCAUUGCCCUUUUUGACACUGGUGCCGAUUUAAAUUGCAUAAGAGAGGACAUUGUCCCCAAAAGAUUUCAUGAGAAAACAAAAGAAAGACUUUCUGCCGCCAACAAUUCAAAGCUUAAUGUAAAUUCUAAAGUCGAAGCUUCAAUUCAUAACAAUGGUUUUGAAUUUAAAACUUCUUUUGUUCUUACAAAUGACAUACACCAUGCUGUCAUUUUAGGAACCCAUUUUAUAAACCUUAUCACUCCUUAUACUGUCAAUUAUGAUAGUAUAUCUUUUAAAGCAAAAGACAAAAGGUUUGUUUUCCCAUUUAUUGAAAAGCCAAAAACAAGAAAUUUGAAUAUUGUUAAAGCAUGUUCUGUCUAUCAGAAUCAAAUCAACAAUCUUCUCCGAUCCAGACAAAGUGAUUUAAUGUUUUUACAAAAGGAUUUAAGUUUAAAAAGAAUAGAAAGCCAAUUACAAAAUGAUUUCAUCCAAAAGAAAAUCUCUGAUUUUAAAGAUCUAAUUGAGAAAGAAAUUUGUGCCGAUCUACCUUCAGCCUUUUGGAAUAGGAAACAACAUUUGGUAGAUUUGUCUUACGAGAAUUCUUUUGAUGAAAAACAAAUACCUACUAAAGCUCGUCCAAUCCAAAUGAAUAUGGAUUUGGAACAACAUUGUAGAACUGAAAUAAAAGACUUGGAGUCUAAAGGACUCAUUGUAAAAUCUAGAUCCCCAUGGUCUUGUGCCGCUUUUUAUGUAAACAAAAAUUCUGAAAUUGAAAGAGGAGUACCAAGAUUAGUCAUAAAUUAUAAACCCCUUAAUAAAGCAUUAAAAUGGAUUAGGUACCCAAUACCUAACAAAAAGGAUUUGCUUCAAAAACUGCAUUCUGCUUUCAUAUUUUCCAAAUUUGACAUGAAAUCGGAUUUUUGGCAAAUUCAAAUUCAUCCAAAAGACCGUUAUAAAACUGCUUUUACUGUUCCUUUUGGACAGUAUGAGUGGAUUGUUAUGCCAUUUGGGUUGAAAAAUGCGCCUUCAGAAUUUCAAAGAAUUAUGAAUGACAUUUAUAACCCUUAUUCUGAUUUUUGCAUUGUUUAUAUCGAUGAUGUUUUGAUUUUUUCUCAAACCAUCGACCAACAUUUUAAACAUCUAAAGACCUUUUACCUUGCUACCAAAAAAGCUGGUUUAGCAAUCUCUAAGUCUAAAGUCUCUUUGUUUCAUACAAAGAUCAGGUUCUUAGGUCACCAUAUUUCCAAAGGAACCAUUACCCCUAUUGAGCGUUCUCUUGCUUUUGCAGACAAGUUUCCUGAUAAAAUCCUUGAUAAAACUCAAUUACAAAGAUUUUUAGGAAGUCUAAAUUAUGUUCUUGAUUUCUGUCCAAAUAUCAAUAGGAUGUCCAAACCUUUGCAUGAUAGGUUAAAAAAGAAUCUUGUUUCCUGGACCGAUGAGCAUACUAAAGUAGUUAGACUUAUAAAGAAUUCUGUAAAAAGCAUCCCAUGCUUAUUUCUUGCAAAUCCUGCUUUACCUAAAAUUGUUAAAACUGAUGCAUCUGAUUUAGGUUAUGGAGGAAUAUUAAAGCAAAAAGAUAUUGAUAAGGAACAGAUAGUUCAAUAUGUUUCUGCACAUUGGAAUGAAUGCCAAAAACAUUAUUCAACCAUCAAAAAAGAAAUUCUUUCCAUUGUUUUAUGCAUUUCAAAAUUCCAACAUGAUUUAUUAAAUCAAAAAUUUCUACUUAGAAUUGAUUGCAAAGCUGCAAAACAUGUUUUAGAAAAAGAUGUUCAAAACAUUGCAUCAAAACAAAUUUUUGCACGAUGGCAAGCCAUUUUAAGUGUUUUUGAUUUUGAUAUUGAAUUCAUUAAAGGAGAUACAAAUUUUAUUCCUGAUUUUCUAACCAGAGAAUUUUUGCAAAGCAGAUAAUGCCGCCGAAGAAAAAAGACAAAGGUAAAGCUAUUCUCAAAGAUACCGAACCUACAAAAACCUCCAAAGAACCUCAAUCUACUCCCUCUAAAGAAAAAUUACUUUCUUCAGCCAUACCCAUUAAAUCCUGGAUUGAAUUGGUUGAAGAAAAUCAAGGAACCCAGUACAAAUCCAUCUCCUCUGAACAACAAGUCAAAGAGUGGAUGGAAUCUAUUACAAAGUCCCCUGAGCUUAUGCUUGCCUUACAAGGCAUCUCAAAAUCUAAAGCCCUUUCUCAGAUCCCUGAGGAAGAAAAACCAAUUUCUAAAGAAAUUACAAAGUCUUCUUCCCAAAGCCAAACUGUUGUUCUUUCUGGUGAAAGUUCAUCUUCUCAGAUUGUUCUUUCCCAGCCAACAGCUUCAAAUAAAACUUCCGAUUGGUAUGAUAAAACUCAUUUUCAAAAUGUUUUAACUAUGGAAGAUGAAUUUUACCACACUGAUCCUUUCCAAGCAAUCUCAAAGUUUUUUCCUAAAGGCUGGUUUUUUAAACCAUGGGAUUUAACAAAACCCCAGCCUUAUUAUCAAAGCAUUUUAGAAGCCACUGAGUCUGUAAAAUUUAAACAUUUCUUUCUCAGUGAAACCCAUUCAGAGCCGGCCUACUCCACGGCCACUAUUUUAAAAGUUUUAAGCCCAAACCAGUGGGGUGACCAACUCCACAAAUUCAAAACAUUCCCUCCAAGUUUUCAAAUGCGUUUACCACACUGCCUGGCCUAUUCCUAUUGGGACUACCAGCAAGCUUGGUUCAACACAUUUUUCUUACAAAACCCAAAAAGGUCCCAUUCAUGGUUAUUUUUCUUCAAUUCAAAAAUAACCGUCCAAAGUCUUCCAAAUUGGUUCCAACAGUGGUGGAAUUUUUUUGGUCCAACACCACAAAUCCUAACUCCAAAUGCCACUCAUUGUUUAAACCUUUUCAAAACCCAUUAUUCCCCAUCAGAUUCAGAGAAACGGUUUUCUCCAUUCCUCUGUUUUUGUACUAAUUUCUUCCUCCCAUGGGUAUGGAUGUGGAAUUUCAGAUUUCAUACUCAUGAAAAACAACUCAUCAUACAAAGAACUUUCAAAGUCAAGUGGUGGUCAAAAUUCGAUGAACAAACCAAAUUGACUGAAUCCCUCAUCAAAAAUUGGCUUUGUUCAAAAGGCUUUCUACCACAAACCAUUAAAGACUCCAAAGUCCAACAAACCUUCCUAACCCAAAAAUCCAAAGCCCAAUCUCUCCUGGCUAGUGCCAAAACUGAAGAUGAAUACUUCAAAGUCAUGGAACAACUCCUUACCUCCAGAUCAAAGUCUUCAGUAGCUGACACCUCUGAAGAAGAAGAAGAAGAUGAAGAGCCAUUUGAUGAAGAACCAUUCAUUUCUCUUGGAGACGAUAAUGAAGAUGACUGUUUCGGAAUUUUCUCUCCAGUAAAGCAUUGUAAAUAAUUAUUUGAUUAUUUACUUUAAAAAAAAAUAUUCGGGUGGUCCCCUGGACACAAGUGAGAGCGCACAUGUCUCUUCACCCGGGGUGUAUUUUGUAUUUUGUACAAAGCAACAGCACCGCUACAGUGCCAAUUUCCAAAGUUUACUGUGCACUUAAAGCUCCGCUACAGUCUACAGUGCCAAUUUCCAAAGUUUACUGUGCACUUAAAACUCCGCUACAGUGAACAGUUUAAAAUGUUUCUAUAAAAACCAAGAGGAAGACUUAGACUCCUCAGGUUUUUCAUUUCUCUUCUUCUCUCCCUUCUCUCUAAAAACUUCUCCUCUCUUCUUCCUCUCUUCCGACUCUCUCUCUCUCUCUUCUUUCUCUCCUGAGACAAAAGAAGUUUUUUGUAUUCAAGGAAUUUUCCUAUCAUCGGUUAAGUUCCUUGUCUUCAGAAUUUUUCUGGAAUCUCUCUUGUAAUCUCUUAAAGCUGCCAGAUCAAAAGAAAUAAAUGUAAAUAUUUUUAAAGCAAGUUUAAAUUUCUGCACUUUAAAUUUCUGCAAUUUAAUUUUUAUGUACAUUUAAAUUUCUGCAAUUUAUUUUAAAGCAAUUUAAUUUCAUGCAUGCAUUGCAGACUGAUCCGUAUCAGAUCUGCCAUAUAAAUUGUACAUUCCUCUGAGGCAAAGAGACCAGAUCUCGAUCCUCAGUUGUAAACCUUCUUUUCUCCCUCCAUUCCUUCAGAGCACCAUUUUCGGGAACCGGAUCUGGUACUGUGUUUGUACCCAAGCCUUUAGAUGUAUGUGUUGCUAGGCUUGCUAAAGAAAUUAAUAAAGAUUUGGUAAAAUAUUUAAAAUCUGACAACCGCGUUUAAAGAAUUUAAUUAUUAUAUGGUAAAGCAAAAUUGAUUUAGUAUAUCAGCUGGAAUACUCGAGGAUACGGGCUACUGGUCCAAAGCGCUAUUAAAGAUCUGCUCUAAAAUAACUGAGCAGGAGCGAUUCCUCAGAUAACAACGCUACGUACCAUAUCAAGUCUAAAAUUUGAUUAACCACGUUCCAAAGCAGAUCUAUCCAUUUAUUUUCAAAGAAUCUAAUAACCAAACUCGGUAAAGCUAUUUAAAAAGAACCAACUGCGAUCCAACUUGUUUUAUUAAAGCAAUCAUAAAGUUUUCCGACGAAAGCACUUUUAUAUAUAUAUAUAUAUAAGUCGUCCACUUGGUCUUUAUAAGGAAUAAGUUAUUUUGAAUAUUAUUCAUUUAUUUUUUGGUUGAGGGCUUUUGUUUUUCAAUUUUAAAAGUGGGUUGUUUGGGUAUGUGAAGCACAAAGCCGAUAGGCAGAAGCAGGAAUGUGAGUCGUUCUUCUUGUUCUUCCUUUUUUUCCAUUUAAUAUUGACGUUUCAAGAUACAUAUUCUUAUAUUUUCCUUUAAUCAUUAAUUCUGAAAAUGAGUCAGCUCUGCAGAUUAUUUGCGGUUGUUAAUUGUUUUUGAUGCAGUUAUCUAAAUUAUCUGAAUAAUUUCAUUUAUUUUAAUUUGUUGCUGGUGCAGCGAGCAAUAUUUUAUCAGAAGAUGGAUGUAUCGGUUGAUAUGAAGAAGUUGGCCGAUUCUUUGAGUGGGAAGUUGGAGACCCUGCCUCCCUUGUCUAAAGAGUGUUCCAUCUACAGAGUUGCUGAGCCCAGGCGGCGUUUAAAUCCGAGUCAUUACACUCCGCAAAUGGUUUCAAUUGGCCCUUUUCAUCAUGGUAAGGAAGAGCUACAACCCAUGGAAGAGCAUAAACGAAGAUACCUUAAAUGCUUUCUUCAACGAACCGAGGUAUGCAUGACACGUUUUCUUACACAUAUAAAGGAUAAGGAAGCAGAAUUGCGCGAUUGUUAUGCUGAAACAAUUCACAAUCUCGGAAGCGAUGAGUUUGUAACAAUGGUUUUAGUGGAUGCUCUCUUUCUCAUUGAGUAACAAUGGUUUUAGUGGAUGCUCUCUUUCUCAUUGUGUUCUUUCUGAGAUAUUACGAACCUCGUUUCAGAACCGAUGAUGAUCGCAUAUUUGGAAAACCCGAAUUGCAUUGGAACAUACGGCAUGACCUGUGGCUGGUUGAAAAUCAGCUUCCAUUGUUCAUUCUGAUUGACUUGUUUAAGCUGGCCAAAACAGAAACCUGUGGUGAUGGCUUCCUCAAGAAUAUGUCCUUCAUGACAAUUAGUUGCCCUCUGAUCGGUGAUUAUAUAGGUGUUCAUCUACCAAUACAGAAGAAUUUAUUAGAAAUCCACUUUCCCAACGCUCAACAUUUUCUUGAUCUGAUUGUACUGUCUUCAGCCAUCUGACUCUCAGUCGCGAGCUGGAACUGAAUUGAAAGAUCCAAACAUACCCAGUUUGAAGGAACUUCACCAAGCCGGAGUCAAGUUUAAACCAGCUGCUAAAGGGUCAACCCAAAAUCUGCUUGACAUCAAUUUUAAUCAAGGAAUCCUGGAAAUUCCAUAUCUAACGUUGUAUGAUGCCACGGAGCGUUUGUACAGAAAUCUGAUUGCCUUCGAGAGAUUGCAUGGCUACGCUGGAUAUUUUAAUGACUUUAUUAUAAUGAUGGCUGACCUCGUCAAAACUCCAAAAGAUGCAGAAUUACUCAUUCGAAACAAAAUUUUUGGGCUAGGGAAUACUGAAGCACUUGCAACUACUUUCCGCGAACUUGAUAAAGAUUGUGGAAUGGAUCAUUUUCAUUUCCAAUAUUCUGGAAUUGUUGCUGAUCUACAAGACUAUUCCAAACUCCGAUGGCACAUGUGGAAGGCAACCUUGAAGCAAAAUUAUUUCAACACUCCAUGGGCAUCUCUCUCCGUAAUUGCAGCAGUUAUUCUCCUUCUACUCACAGCCACACAAACCGUUUCUUCUCUAAUUGCUUUGUAGAUUUAUUUCUAAUGUUUUUCAAAAUUUGUACUGCCGGUGCUUCUGUCUAGCUCAACCACACAGAUUGUAAAUGAAAUAAGAGCAAUUGAUUUCUGCCCUUAAUGUUUUUCAAGUACGUAAUGAUAAAAACUUGAUAAUUUAGUAGCUUAUUGGAAUAAAUUAAUUGAGAAACAAACAUUGUACAUUUGUAAGCAUAUAUUGUCCACUUGUCGCUUGACUUUUCUAAAUUGUGUCGCCUAGCUAACAUCAGUAAUGGACGAUGGCCUGGCAGAGAGAAAAGAAAAGCAAUAAUGUAAUAAUGUAUCACUGCGAUUCUGUGAAAGAUCUUAAUAAGUGAAUAACCAGUAUUAUUAUCGACUAUUGAUUCUAGUUUUAGCAAGAGAUAUGCCUCAUAUCCUUUAUUCAUCAUUACCUAUAAGAGAAUCUGCUCAACUUAGCGCUAAAAAUGUAAGCCCAGGAAUUCUUGAAUUAGGGAACUAUGUAAUAUAAAUGGAGAAACCAAACCACCACUUGAGAAAUUGUCAACAUUCAAGGGGCUAGAUGUUAUUAGUCCAUUUAUUACAGAGCAUCUCACGCCAUAACAAACCCUGAGUGGGGUUUGGGGGUUGAAAAUUAACCAUGGAUUAGAACAAGGGUUAAAAGAACAAGUGGUUAAAAACGGACAACCACAAAACCCAGAUCUUCUACGUUCGUGUUUUUCCUCUCCCAUUUCAGGGACCGAAAAUUUGAUCUUUUUGUCAAAAACCCAACCCUAACAACUUCUGGAAAGCACUUUUCGUCUCAAAAUCACUUUUUUUUUCUCUCCUCCUUCAAGCGUUUAAUUACACUUGAUAAAGAAUGCGCUAUCGAUUAUCUUCAUUUCCAAUAUUCUGGUAUUGUUGCUAAUCGACAAGCCUGUUCUCCAAAUCACCAUGGCGCAAGUGGAAGGCAACCUUGAAGCAAAAUUAUUUCAACACUCCAUGGGCGUCUAUCUCUGUAAUUGCAGCUGUUAUUCUCCUCCUACUCACAGCCACGCAAACAGUUUCUUCUCUAAUUGCAUUGUAGAUUUAUUAAUUUCUACUGUUUGUGAUCAAUUUUUGUGUUUUUAAGGAGCAUUUCAUUUGUAUUGCUUGCUAGUGCCUCUGUUUUGUUUAGCUCUCCCACGGAAUGUAUAAAAAAUAAGAGCAGUUGAUUUCUAUAGUUACUGUUGCUGUUUUCACUCGCCUUUCCAACAAGUCAAGCAGCUAUAUAUUGUCCACUUGUCACCUCAAUUUUUAAAUUGUCACCUAGCUGACAUCGGUAAUGGAGGAUGGCAUGGCAGAUAAAAAAGAAAGGCAAUAGUGUGAUAAUGUAGCAAUUCGAUUCUAUGAAAAGGUUUUAAUAUUUGAAUAACCAGUAUUAGUAUUGAUUCUACAAUUCGUAAUAAUUAAUUAGUUGCUUUAUGGAGACAUUUUAUAAUCACGUUAGAACUUUUACUGUGAAAUGAGAGAGUAAUUUGUCUACAGUAAGCCCCAAGUCAAGUCAAGCACAUAAUGAUAUAACAUAAAAGCAAGAUAAGUCGAGCAAUCGUAAAGCAUGGGUCCUGGAAAGUUGAAAGAAAAAGCAAGAGCGUUUUGUGGCCCAGCACAGAGUGAUGAAAAUUUGAUUAUUCACUCUCCGAUCGGACGGAUAAAGACCAGCCAGCUGGGUUGGUUUGGCUAUUCCUUUCUGUUGAAAAGGACCCUACAUUAAGGGAUUUGAAGUGACUUCGAUGCAAAGCAGUUGUGCGGGGCAAUAAAAUUCAAUACAUGAUCUCUGCCAAGUAAAAGACACGAUUGCAGGGAAGCGCUAUGCUUCAUAAAAUAUUUAGGGGGUGUCAAAUGGUGUAGAGGUAAAUCUCUUUGGGUUAAAGUUGAAAAAGAGUAUUUAAUUAUUGGGGUAAAAUGUUAAACUUUUAAAGUUGUAAGAGCUAAACAGAAAAAUAAAUAUUUUAAAAUCUGAAAUUGUAAAUUUACAUAAUUAUAUUUAAUCAUUGUUUUUGGACAUACAACAGCAGGGCAGGGCCUCUGUUUUCCAUGGGACAGCUUCCCCAUGGAUGAAAGUAUCAAUGAUAAUACUUAACACAUGUUUAUGCUUUCACCUUUUUUUCAUUGAGAAGCCGAAACGAAUCUGCUUUAAGUUUUAAAUUAAUUAACUUGAGAUGAGGUUCAAGAAUAUUAUACGGUUUUUUCCUCAGGAAUUUAUGGUAGUAAUUCAUUUUAGGCUAUGCUAAAUUGCUCAUUGCAGUAAAUUCGUUGUAAGACUUUACUUUAAUACUAUUAUUGGAUCCUUAUUAUUAUGCUUAAGCUUUUGAAACUACGUUAUUUCUGUAACAAGAAUUCAAAGUUGAAUUUAUUGGCUUGCUUUUGAAUUCUCCUGUCUCAUGGCUCAUCUACAUGCUCUGAAUUUUGUACGUUAGGGGACCCAUUAAUUAUUUAAUUAAUACUUAUUGACUCUCAAGUUAAAUUUUUGUGUCAACAGAUUUCUCUAAGACUCUAGCAACCAAUAUAAUCUUUGUUCUUAUUACAUGAGAACCAAUAAAGAAAGAUAACACUUACUGACUUUAUUGAAAGAGAUUCCAUAAAUGACAAGAGAAUUGUUAUGCUCUGAAGGAAGGAAUUAAUGUACAAUAUCAAUUUAUUCGAACUACUCCUAUAUAUAUAUGGACUAUAUGGACCAAUUUAUUACGAGGACCUGGUCGAUCUUAUAUGUUAUUGUGUUUCAUAUCCACAAUUAAUACUGGCUACAAAGAAAAGCAAUGUGAGUAUUCAUUUUAGUCUUCAUUUUUGAUGCGUUAAGUUUCUGAUUUAUAUGCACUUGAUUGUCAUACCUUUUUAUUAAUCAGGAGACACAUCAUUCUUCUGUUAGCUAGCUGGCCAGGGAUGUUCCAGCCCUUCUUUUUAUUGUUCUCUUUUCUUUUUUAAUUAAUAAAUCUCGCUCAACCGAGGACUUUUAUUAAAAUGCUGGCCAUGGAUGACAGGGAGGACGAGCAUGUACCCGUCGAAAUAGAGAAGCUAGCCGAUUCUUCAUCCACAGUUAAUACAGGGGAUACAGAAAAAGCAAUGUGAGUAUUCACUUUUGUCUCAGUUUUUGACGUGUUAAGUAGCUGAUUAAUCUAUGCACACUCGAUCGUCAUAUCUUUUUAUAAAUCUGGAUGGAUAUAUCUCUGGUACUCAAGGAGCAUUGUUUCUUAUUGUUCUCUAGUUGUCAGGUGUGUAUAAAUAUUAUCACGAUUAAUUGAAAAAUAUACUAGACAAAGAGUGAUUGCAAAAGGAGCAAUGCUUCUGAAACACACCAAGAAUUUUCCAUACUAAUGUCAUUUAUUUCAUUAUUCUUCCAUUAGCAACUGAUUGAAUAUAUAUGGAUGACAGGGCCGUAUGAGGACGAGAACGAGCAUGUGCCGAUUGAUAUGAAGAAGUUAGCCGAUUCUUUGAGUGGGAAGUUGGAGACCCUGCCUCCCUUGUCUGGAAAGUGUUCCAUCUACAGAAUGGUUUCAAUUGGCCCUUUCCAUCAUGGUAAGGAAGAGCUAAAAGCCAUGGAAGAGCAUAAACAAAGGUACCUAAAAUGCUUUCUUCAAAGAACAAAGGUAUCCAUGGCACGUUUCCUUGCAUUUAUAAAGGAGAGGGAAGCAGAAUUGCUCAGUUGUUAUGCAGAAACCAUUCAUAAUCUUCAAAGUGAUGAUUUCGUAAAAAUGGUUUUAGUGGAUGCUGUGUUUCUCAUUGAGUUCUUUCUGAGAGUUUAUAAACCUGAUUGCAGAACUGAUGAUGAUCCCAUAUUCGGAAGAUCAUUUUUGUAUGCUGAUGUGAGGCAUGAGAUUUUGCUGCUAGAAAAUCAGCUUCCAUUGUUCAUUCCCAACGACUUGUUUAAUCUAGCCAAAACAACAACGUUUGAAACAAACUUGUAUGAUAAAUUUCCUUCAUGACAAUUACCUGUUUUUGGUUCAGGGAUGAUAUUGUUGGAUAUCUUCCAAUACAGGAGAAUUUGCUAGAAAUCAACUUUUCGAAAGCCAAACAUUUUGUCGAUCUGCUUAUACUCUGUCUUCAGCCAUCCCAGUCGCGUGCAGUUAUUGCGUUGAAAGAUCUAAACAUUCCCAGCGUAAAGAAGCUUGACCAAGCUGGAAUUAAGUUUAAACGAGGGUCGAGCAAGGAUCUACUCGACAUCAAAUUUAAUGAGGGAAUUCUAGAAAUUCCAUUUUUAAGGGUGGAUGAGACCACAGAGCGUUUGUACAGAAAUGUUCUGGCUUUCGAGAAUAUGCAUUGCUACACUGGCUAUUUUAAUGACUAUAUUUUAAUGAUGAAUUAUCUUGUCAGCACGCCAAAAGACGCGGAAUUACUCCUUCAGAACGAAAUUAUCGGGCUAGGGGACACUGAAGCAGUUCCAACUGUAUUUCGCAACCUUGGUAAAGAUUGUGCGAUAUAUUACUUUCAUUUCCAAUAUUCUGCUGUUCUUGCCAAUCUACAGGCCUAUUGCAAAUCGCACAAGUUGAAGGCAACCUUCAAGCAAAAUUAUUUAACCUUGAAGCAAAAUUAUUGCAACACUCUAUGGGCGUCUAUCUCUGUUAUUGCAGCUGUUAUUCUUCUUCUACUCACAUUCAUACAAACAGUUUGUUCGCUCAUCGCAUUGUAGAUUCACUUUUACAGUUUAUUAUGUAUUAUUUUCUUUGAAGGAAUUCACUUGUAUUACCCGUGAGUGUUUCUGUUUAGCUCGACCACUUUUGCUGUUUUCACAAUAAGUCCAGCACAUAACGGUAAAAAUUUGACGAUUCAAUUAAUAUUGAAGAAAGACUCAAGUUCUCCACUCGCCCAAUCGUCCACUUGUUAAUAAAAAAUAUCUAGAGUUAUACAUAUCUAGGGAGGGGUGGUAUAUGGAAGAUGUGGCUAAGAAAUAUAAUAUAUAUAUAUAUAUAUAUAUAUAUAUAUAGGCAGUUAGAUUUUGGUGAAAAGGAAAAUGCCCUAGAAUUAUACAUAUACAUCGGUUUUUUUAUGACGCGGCAGUUUUCUGAUUAAUAUUGAUACUUAUUAACCAGAAAACUACCGGCAUCGGUUUUAUUAUGACGCGGCCAAAUGCACUGCUCCGACAUUGAAAAGGAAUCUACUUCUUUUCCAUCAUGGAUUUAUGGGGCCGCCAAAUAAUUAUUAAAUGUAAAGAUAUUAUUAUCAUUACCAAAUAUAUUAAGAUAACAAAUAAAAAUUAAACUUAAUAAAAUAAAAAUAUUUAUUUUAGUUAUUAAUUUUCAUAUAUAUAUAUAUAUACUAAUCAAUUACGUGGCACUUUUUUGGCUAUAUGGCAGCUUCUUAUUGGUUGUUGGUGGUCCCCCAUGGAUUACUGUGCCAAUCAUAUUCGUGCAAUCUUAAUUUUCAUUCUGUUACCAACUGAAAUCUUAAGGCAAAAUUAUUAUCGUUUGUUCAUUAUCAACUAAACUGUAUCUCUCUGCCUCUGCGGCAAUAUAUAUAUAUAUAUAUAUAUAUAUAUAUAUAUAUAUAUAUAUACGUGCUUGCAUGGUCGCUUUGACUUUUGAUUCAAAAUUGUAAUAGAUUGAGUACAUACCCCAUUGGAUUUUAUCAAUGCUAACUUUAAAUUAGUCGGUCCAACCCUGAAUUUGAGACAUAUAAAAUGUGAGGUACUUAUGGCGUAAAAAAUCUAUCAUAAUCGUGGCGACAAUUUCCACCACGGUCACAAAGUGCAACAAAACCUAAAUUAUCAUCUAAAGGAUCAAAGUAUUUUCAAGUAGUUGAUUAAUCUCUCACAUUUAUCUAUUGAUAUGUCACCACCAUCAAUAUAUGCACUUAUAUUUUGAGCUGAACUGAAACAUGAGAUUUUCUGUUUAGCUGCACCCCAGGGCGAGCCGCGGGCUGGGUGGAAGGCACCAGGCUCAGACCCUGGAAUAGGGAGGCUAUCUUGGCUACCUGAAGAGAGCCAAUGAACUGUGAUUAUCAAAAUCAAUGGGGACAUGACUAGUAAUCUUUGCAGCAGCUCAGAUGGUGCGGCCAUUACUGUGUCAUAGAGUAAGUAACCCAGGAAUCCGCAAACGAGUAUCCCUACUGCCUUGAGAAGCCAUUGCUCUGUUAUGCCGAUGGUUUCAGGCCUUGAUGAAGCCAUGAGUUAAAACAAGUGGUUUGGAGCUAAAAGGGAAAGGACUGAAGGGUCUAUAAAGAUAAUUUUGUGUUUGCUUUUGUGGACUUGUGUGAGCAAGUAAUGUUUCAAGAGACAGAAUUAUUGAGCCUCUGUCACUAACUUUGUCCCAUAUGUUAACAUUUCUUAACAGAGGCAAUAAUUUACAAAGUAACAAUUUGAAAUUCAAUAUUUCUCAUCUCAUUUAGAAGAAUCAACCUGUUGCAAACAAGACUGACCCUCUAGCUGUCAAAAUUUGAACUAAAGCUGCACCAAACAACCGUUCCCCUCAACCCAACUGCACCCCGGCACUUUCUUCAAACCUUUCUGAUUCAUGGCAACCAUAAUCUCAGCUGCAUUAUCCCAAAUAUCAGAUAGAGAAGAUGAAUAUCAGAUAGAGAAGAUACGCUUGGCAGAGUUGAUAGUCCUGUGAUCGCUGUCAGUCCUUUGCAUAUCACACUUGAAACAUGAACAUAAUUGCUCAUCAUUCGGUUCCUGAGAAUAUGUCAAAGAACGUGCGCGUAUUGCGACUGUGGCAAUAGGAAAAGCGACAGCUUCAAAAUUAUUGUAAAGAAGCAGCACCAAUCGAGGAACAAAAUAGCAACUCCAGAAGAAAGGAUGUUGUAAAGCUUCCGCAGCGGUCGGCCUCAUGUAGGGACUCCAGGAGGAGAGCCACGAAAUCAAGCUGAUGGCAUCACUGCUAGCAGAUUCACACCACCCAUCUGCGGGAAUUUCCAAUUGAGAUUGCCCGCGAGUUGAAUUCCAAGAGGCCAAGAAUCCUUAGUGGGCCUUCCAAUCACUUGGCAGAUUUUGUGAAUUUGAUCAGCUGAGGUUUUCCCUGGAAAGAGAAUCCUGAAACUCAACAUCUCGAACAUAAUAGUACCCAUCGCCCACAUAUCAACUUCAGGUCCAUAAAUCUCGUAAAAAAGCAACACCUCAGGAGCUCGAUACCAGCGAGUUGUAACAUAAUCAGUGCACGGCAGAUUGGAAUCAAUUUCCUUCACCAUUCCAAGAUCCCCUAUCUUGAUCACACCUUUCGAAACAAGCAUGUUGGAAGGCUUUAGGUCACGGUGACAAUAACCCUGUUGGUGCAUGAAAUGGAGACCUUAAAAAACUUGGAAACACAAGUUUCUGACGUCAUCUUAAGAGAAAUUUUUACCCUCUCUUUCUUUCAUAAGUUUUAGAAGAUAAGAUUGCAGAAAACGAAAUGCUGUCUGAUUUUAGCACUGUUUGUAUCAUCUUGGCAAACAAGGAAAUAGCAUCAUUUCCUCGGCCGUUAUCUGCAAGUCCAGAAAUCAUGAUUGUCCAAGACUGCAAAUUCUUCUCACGCAUUAAAUUGAAAACUUUGAAAGCUUUCUCAACAUGCCCACACUUGGAACACAUCUCAACCAGGGCGGUUCCUAGAGCAACAUCCAGCUCCAAACCAUUAACGACAGCGUAUGAAUGAAUGGGUUCUCCUGCCCUGACAUUGAUCAGACUGGUACAAGCAGAAACCAAGCUUACCAAGGUGACAGAGUUUGGAUUUUCAUUUGCUAACUUCAUUCGAUGGAACACCUUCAAUGCGUCCGAUGGACUAUCACUUUAUGCAAAAAAAGUGAUAUCAGGAUAUACGGUAAUAAAGGAAACGAAAGCAAAAUAGCAGAUUCACAUGAAAACAAGCACCGCAACUAGACAAACUCAUUAACUAAUGAACUUCACGCAGCAAUUAUUUGGCUUUUAUUCACAUUAACGGUUUUUUAUUUUAUUUUAUUUUAUUUUAUUAAAUCCACGACAAGUAACAAUAACACAUACAAACAAUUCAAAUCAAAUCAUUGAAGAAACAUACCAAGCAACAAAACCCGCAAUCAUAGAACUCCAAGAAACCACAUCUCUCACAGGCAUUUCCUCGAACACUGCUUUCGCAAAAUCAAUUUCCUUACAGGCAGCAUACAUCCUCAAAAGGGUAUUCCCAAUAUAUUUAUCCGAAUCCAAGCCCACUUUAAAAAUCAACGAAUGCACUGACCCACCAAUUCCAAUCAACAGACACCGACCACAAGCUUUUACAACAAAAGGGUACGUAAAAUCAUCAGGUCUAAGCCCUGUUUUUAGCAUUUCAUCGAACAGUUUGAUUGAUUCAAUCGGACAAGAGGUUUUUGUGUAGGCUCUUAUAAGGGUAUUGUAAGCAAAAAGUGGUGGCGUGACGGGCAAGUUAUUGAAUAAGGAUCUCGUAAAGUGGAGUGAGAUUGGAAGUGAAGUGAGAAUGAAGCGUGAGAUUAUGUACGUGUUGUGAUCGAGUGAUGUUUUGAGGAAUAGAGCGGGGAGUUGAUGAAGGUGGUGGGCGGUUUUUGACAGUUGGAUCAGGGUUUCAAUUUGGCGGGAAAUCAUGACCGUAAACUAAAGCUAUUCUUGAUCGACAAACUAACUCGUUCGAAAAAUCAUGACCGUAAACUAAAGCUAUUCUAAAUUGAAAGGUGAGCUUGAGACCAGUGUUGGGUUUAUAAAUGUAUAAUGAAAAUCCCUCAGCUGUGUAAUAUCAUACGGUUGUGGUCAUGCAUAAAUAAACAUAAAAGUUGAGAAAUUAAAAAAAAAAAUUAUUUUUUAAAUAUUAGAAUUUUUUUAUGUCAGUUGUAACAAUAUGACACUUGCAACAAAACCAUUUUCUUGGCAAUUGAAGUAACAUCAAAUUUUUGUCAAAUUUAAAUUUUCACCUAAAAUGUGGUUUGACAUAGAGCCCUUUGGGAUUAUUUCUGAGGUUUAAAAUUAAUUUUGAAAAGAUAAAAUUAAUUUUGGAGUUUAGUGAAUUUUUUUUCAAAAUUAUUUUUUGAUAAAAUCAUCCCAUUAUAUGGUAGAUUUGAAAAACAAAGAAGGAAUAAACUUAUGUCAGAUCACACAUAAGUUUUAACAAUUAGUUACACGUUUCAAAUUCGUACAUGCAUACUUCACAAUAAAUUCCUUAAGUUUGGACAUGUAAUACUCUUGUUUUAACCUUAAAAUUUCAGAAGUCUUGACAUAUGAUCAUGGAUGAAUAAUUCUAAACUCCUCAAAUAAAUAGUUAUAUUGUAAAUUCAUGGUUCCAAAAUCAAUGAAAAAUCAUACGGCUGUGUCAUGCGUAAACAAACACAAAUGUUGAAUAACUUUUGCAUAUAUGGAUGGAUGAAAAGGGGCGGAGCUAGAAUAAAAAAUUUAGGGAGGGUCAAAUAUUAUAGAGGUAGAUGUUUUAAGGUUAAAGUUAAAAAAGAGUAUCUAAUUAAUGGGUAAAAUGUUAAACUUUUAAAGUUAUCGCGGGAUAAAUCAGCAAAAUAAAUAUUAAAAUCUGAAAUUGUAAAUUUUCAUAAUUAUAUUUAAUAAUUGCUUUUGGACCUACAACAGGGCAUGGCCUCUGUUUUCCAUGGGGCAGCUUCCCCUGGAUGAAAGUACAUACAAUAAGACUUGAUACAUGUUUAUGCUUUCACCUUUUUUCUUAGAGAAACCCAAACCAACCUGCUUUAAGUUUUAGUUAACUUAAGAUGAUGUUCAAGAGUAUUAUACGCUUUUUUUCUUCAAGAAUUUACUUUAGUAAUUCAUUUUAGGCAAUACUAAAUUGUUUAUUGUAGUGAGACUUGACUUCAACGCUAUUGUUGGAUCCUUAUCAUCCUUUUAAACCAAAUUACUUCACUAACAAGAUUUCUCAAGUUUAUUCUCCCACAGACAAUUUUUAUUUUAAUUUCAAUUCAUUGAGUUACUUUCAAAUUCUCUUAUCUCUAAGCUUACCCAUGAGUUUUGGUUUUAAUACUUGGGGAAACCUAUAAUAUUUAUUAAUUCUUACCAAUCAACUUGAACUUUUUUGUAAAGAUAUUUCUCUAAGACUCUGACAACCAGGGGCGGAUGCAGUGCAGGACCAUUGGGGGCUCAAGCCCCCACUGAAAUUAUUUUUUUUGUUUAAAGGAAAAUUAAAAAUUAAAAAUAAUCCCUGUAAAAAUUAUUAGAUAAUCUCAUUCUUUAAAAUUUAAACUAUUAUUUUAAUAAUUAUAAAGUAAUAAUUUUACUUAAAAAAAUAAAGCCCACAACCCAAAAUAUUUAUAAUCCCAAAACUGAACCGUGAUUGCCAAACGUGUAAUUAGGGAUUGUCUUGAAGAAAAGAGGAAGUUGCAGGCAUCAGUUCUGUUCUUUAUUCUCAUAAUCGCAAUGAGAAUAAACAUGUUCUUUUCGGUUUUUUUUUCAAAUUAAGUUAAGAAUUUUAUAUUUUAUUUUUUGUUCACAUGUCAACACAUCUCUAUAUAAAUUGUAAUUGUUCAAGUGACUAAUUCUAGUCUUUACAAUUUCUUUUUUUAGUGAUUUUGUUUAUAACUAUUAGUAAAUUAAUUUUUUCAAUCGUAAUUAAUUUAUUUUUACAUAAGUACUCAUAUAUAUAAUUUUGAGCAAUGAAAUUUGUGAAGAAUGAACUUCAGAAUCGGAUAGGAGAUGAAUGGAUGAAUGAUAAUUUGAUUGUUUGUGUAGAAAAAAGAUGGAUUUAAUAGUAUUGAUACUGAGUCUAUUGCACAAUAUUUUCAGAAUAUGAAAUCGCGUAGAGAACAAUAGUAAGUGGGUUACCAAAAAUUUUAUAUAUUUAAGUUUCAAUUUUUACAUUUUGCUAUUAUUUAAUUUAGCCCCCGGUAAAUUAUUUUUCUAAAUCCGCCACUGCUGACAACCAAUAUAAUCUUUGUUCUUGAUUUUUGGUUUUGUAAUUUUUGAUGAUUUUAAUUAUGAAGCUUAAAGCAUGCAUCUUAUUAGAUGGGAACCUAUAAAGAUAGAAAGCAGUUACUGACUUUAUUCGAAUCUUUAUAUAUAUAUAUAUGAAGCAUAUGGACCAAUUUAUUCGGACGACAAGGUCGAUCAUAUAUAAUACUGGUUUCACAUGCAUCAUUAAUUCAAGAAACAAAGAUAGAAAUGUGAGUAUUCGCUUGUCUGCAUUUUUGAUGUGUUAAUAAGUUUAUGAUUUAUAUGUAAUCAAUCGUUAUAUCUUUUAAUUAAUUUGAACACACACACAUGUAUGUAUAUAUGUACAUAAAAUCAUUUUUAGGUGCGGAUGUCUGAAAUUUUUUUUUUUUUUUGAAUUCGCUAUUACACUGUAUACUGUAUUGGUUAAUUGAAUUAAAAAAAAUGAAACACUAAUACGCCAUAUUAUUUAAUAGCCAAUUCGCAGGAAUAAAAAAUGCGGCGCCCACGUAGGAGAAGGACUGCUAUACACACACACUCUAAUGUUGUUUAAUUAUUUCUUUAUUCUUCGGUUAGCUAGCUGGCUGGCCAUGGAUAUGUGGGAGCACGAGCAUGUACCGAUUGAAAUGGAGAAGUUAGCCGAUUCUUUGAGUGGGAAGUUGGAGACCCUGCGUCCCUUGUCGAAAGAGUGUUCCAUCUACAGAGUUCCUGAGCCCAAGCGUUGUUUACAUCCAAGUCAUUACACUCCGCAAAUGGUUUCAAUUGGCCCUUUUCAUCAUGGCAAGGAAGAGCUAAAGGCCAUGGAAGAGCAUAAACGAAGGUACCUAAAGUGCUUUCUUCAACGAACUAAGGUACGCAUGGCACGUUUCCUUGCAUUUAUAAAGGACAGGGAAGUAGAAUUGCGCAAUUGUUACGCUGAAAUCAUUCACAAUCUUCAAAGUGAUGAGUUUGUGACAAUGGUUUUAGUGGAUGCUGUCUUUCUCAUCGAGUUCUUUCUGAGAAAUUACAAAGAUAAUUUGAUAACUGAUGAUGAUCGCUUUUUUAGAAAACCGGAGUUGUAUUACGUAAUUCGAUAUGACUUUUAUCUGCUUGAAAAUCAGCUUCCAUUAUUCAUUCUUGGUGACUUGUUUAAUCUAGCCAACACAGCAACCUAUGAUGACCUGUAUAAGAAUGUUUCCAUUGUGUCAAUUACCUGUUUUUUCCUUAGGGCAGAUAUACUUGCGGUUCUUCCAAUAGACAAGAAUUUGCUUGAAAUCCACUUUUCCGAAGCAAAACAUUUUCUUGAUCUACUUAUACUCUGCCUUCAGCAAUCACAGUCACGCCCUCAAAUUGUACUGAAAGAUCUAAACAUACCCGGUGUAAAGGAACUUCACCAAGGUGGAAUCAAGUUUAAAUCAGGGUCAAGCGAGUGUCUACUUGACAUCAAAUUUAAUAACGGAAUUCUUGAAAUUCCAUCUCUUACAGUAUAUAGAAGGACAGAGCGUUUAUUCAGAAAUCUUCUAGAUUUUGAGAGCAUGCAUGGCUAUACUAGGUAUUUUAAUGAUUACAUUAUAAUGAUGUGUAAUCUCAUCAGCAGUCCAAAAGAUGCAGAAUUGCUCAUUGAAAAUGAAAUUAUUGGGCUCGGGUACACCGAAACACUUCCAGCAAUUUUUCGCAGCCUUGAUGAAGAAUGUAUUAUGGACAAAAGUAAUUUCCAAUAUUCUGGUAUUGUUACUAAUCUACAGUCUUAUCGGAAAUUGCCUUGGCACAAGUGGAAUACAACCUUGAAGCAAAAUUAUUUCAACACCUCAUGGGCUUCUAUAUCCGUAAUUGCAGCUGUUAUUCUCCUUCUACUUACCGUCAUACAGACAGUUUGUUCUCUCAUUGAAAGGAUUGCAUAGUAGGUAGAUUUAUUUUUCAAAUUUUGACUUCUUAAAAGGAUUUCACUCGUAUUGCCAGUGAGUGCUUCUGAUCUGUUUAGCUCAACCACAGUGUGUAAAAGAAAUAAGAGCAGUUGAUUUCUAUACUUGCUGUUUUCACUCACCUUUCCAAUUAAACAACCACAUAUUGAUAACUACUAAUUUAUCCAACUAAUUAAAGGAAUUGACAUUGUACAUAUAUGCUGUCUGUUUGUCACCUCACAUUUUAAAUUGUGUCACCGAGCUAACAUCAAAUCAUCAAUAAUGGAGAACGGCAGAGAAAAAAUAAAAGCGAUAAUCUAAAAGGUUGAUGCAGUCAAUUAAAGGAAAUGGCAAAAGAAACAGGUAGUGUACAUAUUGUACGUCUACUGGCCACCUCGCUUUUUAAAUUUUGUCUUUUUUUUUUUGGGAAAUUGGUAAUUGCAUUAGAAAGGCCAAAUUAGGACAAUAAUAUAUUAUAUUGAUCAAUAGUUUAUUGACUCUUAGGGCGCAAAUACAACUAUAUUAUAAAAGGUAAUAUCAAGCUUAAGCACAAUAUUUAAGAUAAUGAUUAAGACUAAGUUUAAAUUAAGGCAAUACCUAACAAUUAAAAAAAUAUAAUUGGAAUAUUCAAAUUAAUGUGGGGAAAGCCAAAAAAAAAAAAAUCUAGCCUCUAUACAAAACGAUAUUAAUUUCUCAUGAAUUUUGAUUCUCUGUUGAUAAAUUUGAAGACCAAGUUCGGGCUAGACGUCAUUUACUUGAUUACCUUAAAAUGAAGAAUGAUUUCAAGAGAUGUUUCAAAGGCUAUGACAAAAGUGUUGGUUACGUACGCAUCGCAGAAUUUCUUCUUCUAAUGAUAUACAUGAUAUUUUAACAUAGCUAGAAUUUUAAAUUUUAACUUGAAAUUUUUUAAAUUAUUAGCGGCAGAACAUACCUCACCAAAUUUCACUUAAAAAAAGUAUUUGGUAAAAGACUUACACCAAUCAAUGUAAAAGACAAUACGGAACUUAAAGAGAUGAAUAUCAAUGCAUUGAGUAAUUUUCGCUCACAUGCACGAAUGGAAUUAUUAAAUAUCCACUACACACUUAGUACGUACGUAGCUAGGAUUUUUAAGAACAAAUACAAUAAUCAGCCUUCUUGAGACCAGUGUUGGGUUUAUAAAUAUAUAAUGAAUCUUUCAUCUCCAUNNNNNNNNNNNNNNNNNNNNNNNNNNNNNNNNNNNNNNNNNNNNNNNNNNNNNNNNNNNNNNNNNNNNNNNNNNNNNNNNNNNNNNNNNNNNNNNNNNNNUCCCUUCCCCGAAUAAGAAAUUGGAUAUAAAACCAUCCUCAUACCCUCCCCAAAUGGGGAAAAUCCCCAAGGGCCCCCGUCCCUAUGGGGAUUUCUGUCAUCCCUAAAAGAAAUCUACUUCUUUUCCAUUAUGGUGCGGCCAAAUGAACUACUCCCACUGGGAUUCGAACUCGUUCCCUCGAUAAGUUGGGUAUGAGUACGAAUGAUGUUUUUCACGCUCAAAGUAGUUUUAGUACAACACUAACGUGUGGAGAUGCAUAAGUAAACAUAAAAGUUGAGAAAUAAAAGAAAAAAACUAUUAUUUUUUAAAUAUUAGAAACUUUUUAUGUCAGUUGUAACAAUAUGAUAGUUGCAACAAAACCAUUUUCCCGGCAAUUGAAGUAAUAUCACAUUUUUUUCAAAUUCAAAUUUUCAACCAAAAUCUGGUUUGGCAUAGACCUCCUUUGGGAUUGUUUUUGAGGCUCAAAAUUUUGAUUUUGAAAAGAUAAAAAUUAAUUUUGGUGUUUGGUGAUUUUUUUCAAAAUUAUUUUUGAUAGAAUCACCUCAUUAUACAGUAGAUUAGAAAAAUAAAAAAUGGAUAGCUUUACACAAUUGAUUUUGAGAAUCAAUUUUAUACUUAGACACCGUUUGGUAUAACUUUUCAAAUAAAAUUUAUUUAAGUAGAACUUUUAUUGAUAGAGUUUUUAGCAAAAUAAUUUUAUUUAUUUGGUUGUCGAUAAAAGCUUUUAUUAAAAAUUAUGAAAUUCUUUUAUAGGCAAGAAAAGGAAUGAAAUAAGAUUGUCAAAUAAAUAAAAGAUAUUUUAGAUAUUUUAAUAUUUUAAAAAAACUUUUUAACCUUUAGUACUUCAAAAAGUCUAAAAUUUGAACUUUACUAAUAGAUGCAAAAUAACUUAUUUAAUCGACAAAAACUCUACUAAAAAACAAUCAAACAACAAUAAAAUUUUUGAAAAGAACUUAUGAGAUUAGAUAAGUACUUAUGACCAUGAGAUAAAUCAUAUCAAACAAACACUUAAAACAAUUUCAUAUAUAUAUCUUCAUAUAUAUUAUAAAUAUCCAAAAUUAUCCUUAUUCAAUUAAGAAAUAAAAUUAUUAAAUUUAAAGAGAUUAUUAUCAUUACCAAUUAUAUUAAGAUAACAAAAUAAAAUUAAACUUAAUAAAAUAAAAUUUUUUAUUUAGUUUUUAAUUAUCUCACAUAUAUAUACACACACACACGCAAAUAAAUUUUAUUUAAUGUUAUGUCUAUUUUAAUAAUUUGUAUUCUAAUACGAUUUACCAAAUACAUAUAACUAGUUUUAUAACUCACAACACUUUUAAAAAUAAAUUUUCACUAAAUGUCUAACUUUCGUAGCCGAUUAAUUUUACAAUACAAUUAUUUAAAAGUUAUAACAUUGUCAAAUUGACCCAUAAUCGGUCCAACCCGAAAUUUGAGACAUAAAAAAUGUAUGGUACUUAUGGCGUAAAAAAUCUAUCACAAUCGUGGUGACAAUCUCUACCACGGUCACAUAAGCGCAACAAAACCUAAAUUGUCAUCUGAAGGAUCAAAGUAUUUUCAAGUAGUUAUUUAAUCUCUCACACUUAUCUAUUGUAUGUCACCACCAUCAAUAGAUGCUCAUAUUUUUUGAGCUGAACUGACAAAUUUUCUCACUCAAUUUCAAUGAGUAUUCAGAACAUCAAUGGAGAGAACCCAAAUCAUUGAAGAGAUGGAAGAUACGAAGGGCUUUCUUGGCAUAGCAAGACAGUUUAACCAGAGAAAAUAGACAAAUUUAAUAUAGGAAUCUAGCACGUGAGUCAGGGCCCGGGUUUAAUAAAAGAAUUGUCUACUUGUCGCUUUAUUUUUUUAAUUAAAUUCGGUCACCUAACCUCGACAUAAAUUUUGGACUGAUUUGUGGCCUAUUGAAUUGUUUGAGCACGAUCAUCUAGUAGCUAAUUUUUUGCUUUAUUGAAAAAUUAAAAUGAAAACAACUUAUUCAAUUUUAUUAGAAAGCAACUCGGUUUUGUUGUAUUAAAAAAAGACUCUUGACUAAUUCUCCGGAGGGGAUUGGAUAUUAGUUAUGUAAUGAUUUGUAUAAGACUUUUAUUCCCGCUCUAUUUGUCCUAGUCUUUACCAGGCUCCACUAUAUUUAUAAAAAAAAAAGACUCUUGACCUCACAUCACUUUGUCCGAAGAGUGCACAAUUGGUUGGAAUUAUUUUAUUAUUAAGGAAAAUUAUCAUUGUACCACCUUUGUUUUACCUUAUGUUCAUCCAAUUAUCAUAAAAUUUUAACAUGUUCUCUGCACCACCUUUCUUUUCACAUUUGUGUCAACUAUCCACUUUUGCAUCAACACUGUUA